rnacentral:rRNA from 1 species
GACGAACGCUGGCGGCGUGCCUAACACAUGCAAGUCGAACGGGGUAAGAGAGAAGCUUGCUUUUUCUUACUUAGUGGCGAACGGGUGAGUAACGCGUGAGAAACCUGCCUCUCAGUGGGGGACAACAGUUGGAAACGACUGCUAAUACCGCAUAACACUUUAGUACCGCAUGGUACAGAAGUCAAAGCUUUAUGUGCUGAGAGAUGGUCUCGCGUCUGAUUAGCUAGAUGGCGGGGUAACGGCCCACCAUGGCGACGAUGUCUAGGGGUUCUGAGAGGAAGGUCCCCCACACUGGUACUGAGACACGGACCAGACUCCUACGGGAGGCAGCAGUGAGGAAUAUUGGUCAAUGGGCGAGAGCCUGAACCAGCCAUGUCGCGUGCAGGAUUACGGCCCUAUGGGUUGUAAACUUCUUUUAUACGGGAAUAACAUCACCUACGUGUAGGUGCCUGCAUGUACCGUAUGAAUAAGCAUCGGCUAACUCCGUGCCAG